rnacentral:rRNA from 1 species
AUACGAAGGGUGCAAGCGUUACUCGGAAUUACUGGGCGUAAAGCGUGCGUAGGUGGUUGUUUAAGUCUGUCGUGAAAGCCCUGGGCUCAACCUGGGAAUGGCGAUGGAAACUGGGCGACUAGAGUGUGGCAGAGGGUAGUGGAAUUCCUGGUGUAGCAGUGAAAUGCGUAGAGAUCAGGAGGAACAUCCGUGGCGAAGGCGACUGCCUGGGCCAACACUGACACUGGGGCACGAAAGCGUGGGGAGCAAACAGGAUUAGAUACCCUGGUAGUCCACGCCCUAAACGAUGCGAACUGGAUGUUGGGUGCAAUUUGGCACGCAGUAUCGAAGCUAACGCGUUAAGUUCGCCGCCUGGGGAGUACGGUCGCAAGACUGAAACUCAAAUGAAUUGACGGGG